UCAGGACGAACGCUGGCGGCGUGCUUCAUACAUGCAAGUCGAACGAGAAGCUAACUUCGGUUAGUGGAAAGUGGCGGAACGGGUGAGUAAAAUGUAGAGAAUCUGCCCUAGAGAGGGGGACAACAGUUGGAAACGACUGCUAAUACCCCAUAUGAGCGUAGCUGAGAUGCUAUUCUUGAAAACUCCGGUGCUCUGGGAUGAGUCUGCAUCUGAUUAGCUAGUUGGCGGUGUAAUGGACCACCAAGGCGACGAUCAGUAGCUGGUUUGAGAGGAUGAUCAGCCACAAUGGGACUGAGACACGGCCCAUACUCCUACGGGAGGCAGCAGUAGGGAAUUUUGCGCAAUGGGGGAAACCCUGACGCAAGCAACGCCGCGUGAUUGAAUAAGCCCUUCGGGGUGUAAAGAUCUGUCAGUAGGGACGAAACUUGACGGUACCUACAGAGGAAGCAUCGGCUAACUCCGUGCCAGCAGCAGC
rnacentral:rRNA from 1 species